GCUUGUCUCAAAGAUUAAGCCAUGCAUGUCUCAGUACAAGCCGAAUUAAGAGUGAAACCGCGAAAGGCUCAUUAAAUCAGUUAUGGUUCCUUAGAUCGUACCCACAAUUACUUGGAUAACUGUGGUAAUUCUAGAGCUAAUACAUGCAAAUAGAGCUCCGACCGGAGACGGAAGGAGUGCUUUUAUUAGAUCAAAACCAAUCGGUGGCGGGCUCGUCAUCGUUCAACUUGGUGACUCUGAAUAACUUGACGCUGAUCGCACGGUCAUCGCACCGGCGACGCAUCUUUCAAAUGUCUGCCUUAUCAACUGUCGAUGGUAGGUUCUGCGCCUACCAUGGUUGUAACGGGUAACGGGGAAUCAGGGUUCGAUUCCGGAGAGGGAGCCUGAGAAACGGCUACCACAUCCAAGGAAGGCAGCAGGCGCGCAAAUUACCCACUCCCGGCACGGGGAGGUAGUGAAG
rnacentral:rRNA from 1 species